rnacentral:sRNA from 1 species
UCCACUGCUAAAUUUCGACUCAAAUUGU